rnacentral:rRNA from 1 species
CUGUCUCAAAGAUUAGCCAUGCAUGUCUCAGUACAAGCCGAAUUAAGGUGAAACCGCGAAAGGCUCAUUAAAUCAGUUAUGGUUCCUUAGAUCGUACACACGUUUACUUGGAUAACUGUGGUAAUUCUAGAGCUAAUACAUGCAAACAGAGCUCCGACCGGAGACGGAAGGAGCGCUUUUAUUAGAUCAAAACCAAUCGGUGGCGAUUUCCGUCGUCAUCGUACAACUUGGUGACUCUGAAUAACUUUACGCUGAUCGCACGGUCUCGCACCGGCGACGCAUCUUUCAAAUGUCUGCCUUAUCAACUGUCGAUGGUAGGUUCUGCGCCUACCAUGGUUGUAACGGGUAACGGGGAAUCAGGGUUCGAUUCCGGAGAGGGAGCCUGAGAAACGGCUACCACAUCCAAGGAAGGCAGCAGGCGCGCAAAUUACCCACUCCCGGCACGGGGAGGUAGUGACGAAAAAUAACGAUACGGGACUCAUCCGAGGCCCCGUAAUCGGAAUGAGUACACUCUAAACCCUUUAACGAGGAUCAAUUGGAGGGCAAGUCUGGUGCCAGCAGCCGCGGUAAUUCCAGCUCCAAUAGCGUAUAUUAAAGUUGUUGCGGUUAAAAAGCUCGUAGUCGAAUCUGUGUCCCGCGCCGCCGGUUCAUCGUUCGCGGUGUUAACUGGCGUGUCGCGGGACGUCCUGCCGGUGGGCUUAGCUCGAGAGGGCGGCCCAACUCAAUCCCGCCGCGGUGCUCUUCAUUGAGUGUCGAGGUGGGCCGGCACGUUUACUUUGAACAAAUUAGAGUGCUUAAAGCAGGCUAAAACUUCGCCUGAAUACUGUGUGCAUGGAAUAAUGGAAUAGGACCUCGGUUCUAUUUUGUUGGUUUUCGGAACCCCGAGGUAAUGAUUAAUAGGAACGGAUGGGGGCAUUCGUAUUGCGACGUUAGAGGUGAAAUUCUUGGAUCGUCGCAAGACGGACAG